GAACGAGAGCCUUCGGGUCUAAAGGCGCACGGGUGCGUAACGCGUGGGAAUCUGCCCUUGGGUUCGGAAUAACAGUUAGAAAUGACUGCUAAUACCGGAUGAUGACGUAAGUCCAAAGAUUUAUCGCCCAAGGAUGAGCCCGCGUAGGAUUAGCUUGUUGGUGAGGUAAAAGCUCACCAAGGCGAGCGAUCCUUAGCUGGUCUGAGAGGAUGAUCAGCCACACUGGGACUGAGACACGGCCCAUACUCCUACGGGAGGCAGCAGUGGGGAAUAUUGGACAAUGGGCGAAAGCCUGAUCCAGCAAUGCCGCGUGAGUAAUGAAGGCCUUAGGGUUGUAAAGCUCUUGGACCCGGGAUGAUAAUGACCGUACCGGGAGAAUAGCCUCCGGUUAACUCCUGG
rnacentral:rRNA from 1 species